rnacentral:rRNA from 1 species
UACGUAGGGUGCGAGCGUUGUCCGGAAUUAUUGGGCGUAAAGAGCUCGUAGGCGGUUUGUCGCGUCUGCCGUGAAAGUCCGGGGCUCAACUCCGGAUCUGCGGUGGGUACGGGCAGACUAGAGUGAUGUAGGGGAGACUGGAAUUCCUGGUGUAGCGGUGAAAUGCGCAGAUAUCAGGAGGAACACCGGUGGCGAAGGCGGGACUCUGGGCCGAUACUGACGCUGAGGAGCGAAAGCGUGGGGAGCGAACAGG